GCUCGGAUGGUGGAAUCGGUAGACACAAGGGACUUAAAAUCCCUUGGCUAGCAAUAGCCGUGCAGGUUCAAGUCCUGUUCCGAGCA
rnacentral:tRNA from 1 species